ensembl:lncRNA
AGAGAGAAAAGAAUGGGUAGAGGACAGGAGGGAGACGAAAGAGAAGAGAGAUGGGUAGAGGACAGGAGGGAGACGAAAGAGAAGAGAGAUGGGUAGAGGACAGGAGGGAGACGAAAGAGAAGAGAGAUGGGUAGAGGACAGGAGGGAGACGAAAGAGAAGAGAGAUGGGUAGAGGACAGGAGGGAGACGAAAGAGAAGAGAGAUGGGUAGAGGACAGGAGGGAGACGAAAGAGAAGAGAGAUGGGUAGAGGACAGGAGGGAGACGAAAGAGAAGAGAGAUGGGUAGAGGGCAAGAUUCAUCCGUGGGCCGGUCGUCUGAGCAGAUGGUCGAGGGGCCGAAACGUUAUUAUAAUAAUAACAAAAAUGUGUACCCAGUAGACUGUCCCCCCCCCAGCAGAGAAGAGACCGUCCCCCAGUAAGGCAGAGAAGAGACCGUCCCCCAGUAAGGCAGAGAAGAG